ensembl:rRNA 5S_rRNA 5S ribosomal RNA
GCCAGCAGCCAUAUCACCCUGCAACUCACAACUGGCAACCCACUGAAGCUAAGCAGGUGUGAGCCUGGUCAGUACCUCGAUGGGAGACCCCGGGAAAAACUAAGGUUGCUGCUGGAA